rnacentral:rRNA from 1 species
AACGAACGCUGGCGGCAGGCUUAACACAUGCAAGUCGAGCGCCCCGCAAGGGGAGCGGCAGACGGGUGAGUAACGCGUGGGAACGUACCCUUUGCUACGGAAUAGCCCCGGGAAACUGGAAGUAAUACCGUAUGUGCCCUACGGGGGAAAGAUUUAUCGGCAAAGGAUCGGCCCUCGUUGGAUUCGCUAGUUGGUGGGGUAAUGGCCUACCAAGGCGACGAUCCAUAGCUGGUCUGAGAGGAUGAUCAGCCACAUUGGGACUGAGACACGGCCCAAACUCGUACGGGAGGCAGCAGUGGGGAAUAUUGGACAAUGGGCGCAAGCCUGAUCCAGCCAUGCCGCGUGAGUGAUGAAGGCCUUAGGGUUGUAAAGCUCUUUCACCGGAGAAGAUAAUGACGGUAUCCGGAGAAGGAGCCCCGGCUAACUUCGUGCCAGCAGCCGCCGCCGUAA